rnacentral:rRNA from 1 species
AGUGAACGCUGGCGGUAGGCCUAACACAUGCAAGUCGAACGGCAGCACAGAGGAGCUUGCUCCUUGGGUGGCGAGUGGCGGACGGGUGAGGAAUACAUCGGAAUCUACUCUGCCGUGGGGGAUAACGUAGGGAAACUUACGCUAAUACCGCAUACGACCUACGGGUGAAAGCAGGGGACCUUCGGGCCUUGCGCGAUUGAAUGAGCCGAUGUCGGAUUAGCUAGUUGGCGGGGGAAAGGCCCACCAAGGCGACGAUCCGUAGCUGGUCUGAGAGGAUGAUCGGCCACACUGGAACGGAGACACGGUCCAGACUCCUACGGGAGGCAGCAGUGGGGAAUAUUGGACAAUGGGCGCAAGCCUGAUCCAGCCAUACCGCGUGGGUGAAGAAGGCCUUCGGGUUGUAAAGCCCUUUUGUUGGGAAAGAAAUCCAGCUGGCUAAUACCCGGUUGGGAUGACGGUGCCCAAAGAAUAAGCACCGGCUAACUUCGUGCCAGCCGCCGCCGUAA